rnacentral:rRNA from 1 species
UACGGAGGGUGCAAGCGUUGUUCGGAUUUACUGGGCGUAAAGCGCGCGCAGGUGGGUGAACAAGUCGGAAGUGAAAUCUUGAGGCUCAACCUCGAGGCUGCUCCCGAAACUGUUCGCCUAGGGACUGGUAGAGGCUGGUAGAAUUCCCGGUGUAGCGGUGGAAUGCGUAGAGAUCGGGAAGAAUACCUGUGGCGAAGGCGGCCAGCUGGGCCAGAUCCGACACUGAGGUGCGAAAGCGUGGGGAGCAAACAGGG